rnacentral:rRNA from 1 species
AUACGUAGGGGGCGAGCGUUGUCCGGAAUGAUUGGGCGUAAAGGGCGCGUAGGCGGCUCUGCAAGUCAGUAGUGGAAGUCCAUUUUUCAAGGAUGGAAGUGCUACAGAAACUGCGGAGCUUGAGUGCAGGAGAGGUUAUCGGAAUUCCCGGUGUAGCGGUGAAAUGCGUAGAGAUCGGGAGGAACACCAGUGGCGAAGGCGGGUAACUGGACAGCAACUGUCGCUGAGGCGCGAAAGUGUGGGGAGCAAACAGGAUUAGAUACCCUGGUAGUCCACACUGUAAACGAUGAAUGCUAGGUGUAGGAGGUAUCGACCCCUUCUGUGCCGCAGUAAACACAGUAAGCAUUCCGCCUGGGGAGUACGGUCGCAAGACUAAAACUCAAAGGAAUUGACGGGG